CUACUAUUAACAUAGCUUGGCAAGAGUUGAUCGAUCGUUUGAAAUAGAUUGUUAACAUAAUCUGGCGUUGGUGUAAAACUCGGAAAUGGUUUAUAUAAAAUAUAUAUCUUUUAUUAUUAACACUAUCAACGCAAUAAUUGAUUAAAAAAAAAAGGAAAUACAGAUUCAUAUUUGAGACGCAUAAGUUGGCAAUCACUAAUCCAGUAACAGUUUCACGAUUAGAUGUCGUCCAUCUUGGAACGAUUAAUCUGGAUUCACUUCCGGUUGCCUUCAAUAUCGAGGAUUUGUCCUUUAAUGUUUGGAAAAAUAUAAAGACAUACUUAUCUAUCUGCAUCGAUGAAAUUCUCAAGACAAGCAAUUCAGUACCAUCAUUAGCUUCCGGUUUGAUUAAUUCGGUUUUGUGUUAUUUACGUAAGGCAUAUACACAGACGGUUGGUACAGAAGCACAAAUCGAAGAUAAAAACAUUAUGAAUAAUACGGCCCAUUUGAUUUAUCAAUCGAUGGAUUAUUGGUGUCCAGAUCCUGAUAAGCCAUUCGAUGUUGUUUAUAACGAAAAGUGCAGUCGAUUGUUCAUUGACAUAUAUUAAUCCAUUGAGACGGAGGACAAAUCUAUUUUACUUUCAAGACCCGUUAAAAGUCAAUUAGCAUCUAUUUUAUCUUGGAUAGAAAAUGGUUAUCCCGUUAUUUUACGAGGCCAAGAGGGAUCUGAUAAAGAAAUUGGUGAGAGAAUUACUUCAAGACAAAGGAUUUCAUCAGAAGGGUUUCGCUCAAAUUCCGUUAAAGUUAUUUUGUACUGCGGAUUGUAUUUUAUAUUGCUUUUCAUCCGAGAUUAAAAUGUCUCAUAGUUACAUAUUAUCUAUCGUUGGUUAUUUCGAUGCUUAACUAAAGCAGAACAAAAUAAAAAUCAAUGAUGACACAUCAAGAUGUUGACAAAAGUAUUGUAAGAAGAAUAAUUAUUUCAACUAAUAUAAAAAUUCGGUACGCCGUUUGAAGAACAUAUAAGUAGUAUUGAAAAUCAUAAGAGUAAAAUUAAAACAUUAAAAUAGAAAGAAAUGCAGAAAAAAUUCUCGAACAGAAUAUAAUGGCAGGAUUAGCUAAAUUAGAACAAAUGUAUACUGCAAAUCCUGACGAUGUAAGAAAUAAAAAUGGGAGUAAUCAAACUGAUAGAUUUUCACCAGCUGAGGUAAAUAAUUUUCAACCGAUGGACGCUUUUCGAUGGGAAUGAAUUUUUUUUCAAAACAAUUAAGAUUUAUUCCAGAGAAUAAAUGCUUGUCCUCUUGAGGAGAACGAGUCUGGAGGUUUCUUCCAGCUCACUCGU